AACGAACGCUGGCGGCGUGCUUAACACAUGCAAGUCGCGGGAGGACAUGGGUGCUUGCACCCAUGAGCCGACCGGCGGACGGGUGCGUAACACGUAAGCAAUUUGCCCCUGUGCGGGGGACAACCCGGGGAAACUCGGGCUAAUACCGCAUGGACCGGUUGAGUCACCUGGCUUUAUCGGGAAAGAUGGCCUCUUCAUGAAAGCCAUCGCGCGGGGAGGAGCUUGCGGGCUAUCAGCUAGUUGGUGGGGUAACGGCUCACCAAGGCGACGACGGCUAGCGGGUCUGAGAGGAUGAUCCGCCACAUUGGGACUGAGACACGGCCCAAACUCCUACGGGAGGCAGCAGUGGGGAAUAUUGGGCAAUGACCGAAAGGUUGACCCAGCGACGCCGCGUGCGGGAGGAAGCCCUUCGGGGUGUAAACCGCUGUCCAGGGAGAGACGAAAAACCCUGGAUUCAACAA
rnacentral:rRNA from 1 species